CAAAAUAUAUAUAUCCCAUUCAUAUAUCCAAAAUAUAUAUAUUCAUGUCACAUGAAGCUAAGCAGGGUUGAGCCUGCGCAGUACCUGGAUGGGAGACCUCCUGGGGAAAACUAAGGUUGC
rnacentral:rRNA from 1 species